rnacentral:rRNA from 1 species
UAGGCUCCGGGUGUAAGCAUGGCAACAUGUUCAGCUCAGGAGUACUAAUAACCCGUUCGGCUUGAUCU